GAUAAGAUUUCUCUGUAAUCGUUGUACUGCCUUGAUAAAAGCACCCUUGCACCUUUUUCCAUUUGACACCAAG